rnacentral:rRNA from 1 species
GAGUUUGAUCCUGGCUCAGAUUGAACGCUGGCGGCAUGCCUUACACAUGCAAGUCGAACGGCAGCACGGGGGCGACCCUGGUGGCGAGUGGCGAACGGGUGAGUAAUACAUCGGAACGUGUCCUGUAGUGGGGGAUAGCCCGGCGAAAGCCGGAUUAAUACCGCAUACGAUCUACGGAAGAAAGCGGGGGAUCUUCGGACCUCGCGCUGCAGGGGCGGCCGAUGGCAGAUUAGCUAGUUGGUGGGGUAAAGGCCUACCAAGGCGACGAUCUGUAGCUGGUCUGAGAGGACGACCAGCCACACUGGGACUGAGACACGGCCCAGACUCCUACGGGAGGCAGCAGUGGGGAAUUUUGGACAAUGGGGGCAACCCUGAUCCAGCAAUGCCGCGUGUGUGAAGAAGGCCUUCGGGUUGUAAAGCACUUUUGUCCGGAAAGAAAACUUCGUCCCUAAUAUGGAUGGAGGAUGACGGUACCGGAAGAAUAAGCACCGGCUAACUACGUGCCAGCAGCCGCGGUAAUACGUAGGGUGCGAGCGUUAAUCGGAAUUACUGGGCGUAAAGCGUGCGCAGGCGGUCUGUUA